UUUUUUUUUAAAGAUUCCCUAGCUUCAGUGUGCUGAGUGGUGCAAGAAUUAUUGCAGAAGUUCCCUAGAAAACUCUUAUUGGCGGCAGGUUCUUACAUGCAGAAAAAUGGAGAGUUAUGUCAAGUGUAUUUUUUUAGUAGCCACUUCUGUUAUGGAAUGGUUUUUGUAAAAUUGUGCGCCAUUAUGUUCCCAAUUCUUCAAAGGCGGUUCCAUUUUACUUAUCUCCAUUGGAUGUUUAAUUUCUUUAAUUUUAGAGGAACACUAUUGACAUAAAUUGAUAAGAAAGUCAUUAUCUAUUUGUUUGCUUCAAGCUACUUAUCUGUCCCUUCUUCAGCGCUCUCUUUAUUCUUCUUUAUGCCCUCUUUGUUCUUCUUUAUGCCUUAAUAAGUGUGAAUUGCUCUUGCAAUUAGGGCAAAAGGGGAAGUAGCAAACAGGGCGAUGAAAGGUACUUUAUAUAUAUAUAUGAAAACGUUGGAUUCUUAUGAGAAUAAAGGGUUUGGUUUAAGGAGAGGUUAUGAGAAUGAAGCUCUCAUGAAAAGAAAAACAAUCAAAUUAAAUAUGCAUUAAUUUAGAGAUUUUUAUUUGUUUAAGUUACUAAUUACUUUGUAGAAUAAAAGGUUUGGUUUAAGAAGAGGUAAUGAGAAUUAAGCAUAGCUUGUCACGUGGCAAAAGAUAUUGAGGUUUCAUAUAGGUUUAUAGAUAAUAUAAAAUAAUUUUGGGUUCUAGUUUGGAUUGGGUAUAGUUAAAAUUUAUAUUUAAAUUCAUGUUCGUCGAAUUUUUAUUUUUGAUAUUUAUAUUCGAAAACAUAUUCGUUUGGCAUCAGAUA
rnacentral:lncRNA from 1 species